rnacentral:misc_RNA from 1 species
GUGGAAUUUUUAUUGUGUUUAAGAUGACAGUUGUAUAAUCAAGCUUGAAUCAACCUUCAGUUUUUCUUCAUAAUCAUGUUUUUAUUGUAUGGUUUUAUCACAUGAUUUAAUUGAUAGACUUUGUAGUGAUUUAAUCCCUUCAUCAUAUUCUUCCUGUAAUGAGUUUCUGUUUUUGUCUCCUAUGAAGGCAUAUCUACCUGGAGGAUAU